rnacentral:rRNA from 1 species
ACUCCUACGGGAGGCAGCAGUGGGGAAUUUUGGACAAUGGGCGAAAGCCUGAUCCAGCCAUUCCGCGUGAGUGAAGAAGGCCUUCGGGUUGUAAAGCUCUUUCGCAAGAGAAGAAAACUUACCCUCUAACAUAGGGUGAGGUUGACGGUAUCUUGAUAAGAAGCACCGGCUAACUACGUGCCAGCAGCCGCGGUAAUACGUAGGGUGCGAGCGUUAAUCGGAAUUACUGGGCGUAAAGCGUGCGCAGGCUGUUUUGUAAGUCAGAUGUGAAAUCCCCGAGCUCAACUUGGGAACUGCGUUUGAAACUACAAGACUAGAAUAGGUCAGAGGGGGGUAGAAUUCCACGUGUAGCAGUGAAAUGCGUAGAGAUGUGGAGGAAUAUCAAUGGCGAAGGCAGCCCCCUGGGAUCAUAUUGACGCUCAUGCACGAAAGCGUGGGGAGCAAACAGGAUUAGAUACCCUGGUAGUCCACGCCCUAAACGAUGUCUACUAGUUGUUGGUGGAGUAAAAUCCAUGAGUAACGCAGCUAACGCGUGAAGUAGACCGCCUGGGGAGUACGGUCGCAAGAUUAAAACUCAAAUGAAUUGACGGGGGCCCGCACAAGC